CUAGAAAAGGAAACUAUCUGGUCAUAACAUUAUAAACCAUGCAGAAAGACCAAAUUAUUCUGAAGAUUCUUUCUCCAUAGAUUUAGUUCCUCAGCUCGUCACAGGAAUAUGUGAUAGUUCUCGCUUUUAAUCACCACUGGGACUACAAUAUGCCUGUUCAAACAUGAAAGCCGCAACAUAUCAACUGAAAUAUAUACCUUUUUAUAUGACAGUGCUCCAUUUGCAUUGCAGUUAAUACAACCAAAUCAGGAAAGCAGAUUUUUAUUGAAUUCCAAUUUCAUCACCUUCCGCGGUGGGAUUCCAACUCAUGAACACAGAUCUUUAGCCUCGGGUUCCAGAAUACUGAGCCAGUCAUGUUACCACUUUGCCAGCACCUCUUCGGAGCUACUAAUACUGAUCAAAUGAUGUGGGUUUGUCCCUGGACUCCAGAUGGAUCAAAUUCAUCUGUGGGGAGAAGAAGAUAUACAUUAGCUGCUUCAGAGAAGAAUUUGCAAACCGCAUCAACAGAAAUCAUUAUGUUUCAGGACAAGAUGUUACCAUAUCACAUAAUGAAUGGCAUAUGCAUAUGUAUAUGAAUAGUUUUAUAAAUGUACUAGCUGACUUUGUGGCGUUGUCAGAGGUAGUCUGGUGUCUGGAGUCCAGUUAUGAAAUUUAGUAUUGUUCUAUUUCCAGUUGUGGGCCGGAUCACAGUAAGAUAUAGGGAAAAUAAGGAAUUGGAUUUUAAAUGUAAAAUCAUGGGAUCUUGAAAAAAAGUAAGGAUUUGUUUCUGUUUCUUUUCAGUGGUUAUUAAAUUUUCAAAAAUAAAGAUAAUUUACGAAAGCAGUAAAGAAACUUCAUAGUUUAUUCCAUGAAGUUACAAUCACCACUCCACUUUCUUACUUUGUAACAUUCCCCAUCUCAGCAAG